rnacentral:rRNA from 1 species
GGGAAUCUACCGUGCCCUGCGGAAUAGCUCCGGGAAACUGGAAUUAAUACCGCAUACGCCCUACGGGGGAAAGAUUUAUCGGGGUAUGAUGAGCCCGCGUUGGAUUAGCUAGUUGGUGGGGUAAAGGCCUACCAAGGCGACGAUCCAUAGCUGGUCUGAGAGGAUGAUCAGCCACAUUGGGACUGAGACACGGCCCAAACUCCUACGGGAGGCAGCAGUGGGGAAUAUUGGACAAUGGGCGCAAGCCUGAUCCAGCCAUGCCGCGUGAGUGAUGAAGGCCUUAGGGUUGUAAAGCUCUUUCACCGGAGAAGAUAAUGACGGUAUCCGGAGAAGAAGCCCCGGCUAACUUCGUGCCAGCAGCCGCGGUAAUAUGAAGGGGGCUAGCGUUGUUCGGAAUUACUGGGCGUAAAGCGCACGUAGGCGGAUAUUUAAGUCAGGGGUGAAAUCCCAGAGCUCAACUCUGGAACUGCCUUUGAUACUGGGUAUCUUGAGUAUGGAAGAGGUAAGUGGAAUUGCGAGU